GGGGGUGUAGCUCAGUUGGUUAGAGCAGGGAACUCAUAAUUCCUUUGUCGCGGGUUCAAGUCCUGCCACCCCUA
rnacentral:tRNA from 1 species